rnacentral:rRNA from 1 species
GACGAACGCUGGCGGCGUGCCUAAUACAUGCAAGUCGAACGCAGUGGGGACGGGUGAGUAACACGUGGGUAACCUCCCAUCAGAGGGGAUAACACUUGGAAACAGGUGCUAAACCGAUACUGAUGGAUGGACCCGAGGUGCAUUAGCUAGUUGGUGAGGUAACGGCUCACCAAAGCCAGGAUGCAUAGCUGACCUGAGAGGGGGAUCGGCCACACGGAGACUGAGACACGGCCCAGACUCCUACGGUAGGAGGCAGUAGGGUAUCUUCGGCAAUGGACGAAAGUCUGACCGUGCAACGCGGCGUGAGUGAAGAAGGUUUUCGGAUCGUAAAACUCUGUUGUUAGAGAAGCGGUAUCUAACCAGAAAGCCACGGCUAACUACGUGGCAGCAGCCGCGGUAAUUC